GGGGCUGCAGCUCAGUGGCAGAGAAUCUGCCUGGCAUGCAGGAAGUCCCGGGUUCAAUCCCAGGCAUCUCCA
rnacentral:tRNA from 1 species